CUUGAAUGUAAUGAAAAACGGCGGCCAGAUGAACCAGACAGGACACCGGCUGCCAAUGUUGAAGGUGGCUGAAGCAUUGCAUUUUUAGGCACUGUCUAAGUCUCUAAGACAUUAACUGUAGACGAACUGCUUUAUUUAAAGGAGGAGUUUACACUUUUGGAGCCAAACAAAAAUGGAACCAUUAGCCUAGAAAACAUCAAAGCGACCUCGAUGAAAAAUGCAACAAAUGCUAUGGAGUCACAUAUUCUUGACUUUUUUGGAUCAAUUUCAUGAUGUAAAUUCCAUGUAACCGCCGUUUAGUGUUCUUAAGGAUCUCAUUGAGAUUUUAGAGAGCAAAAGUAGCAUCAUUGAAGAGGCAAGGAGCUUGCAAUGUCUCCAAUCAAAUUGAUAGUUUUCGUUGAUAAUGGGUUUCAAUUCAGCGUAUAGGAGCUUGCAAGAUAUAUUCCCCCAAAAAAGGAUUAGGAGGCACAUAUGAAAGGGACGUGCCAUUUGCUACUGUCCUCGAAGAUUUUGGAAGUGACCAUAAUGAUUUUUAUUUUGCUGCUUUAGGAGAUAAAUUUCAGAUUUUUUCUUUUAUCACAGCUUCAAUUUUAAAUCAUUCCAUACUGGAGUUUAUAUAUGAAUUGUGUGAGAAAUACUGCUAUAGUUACAUCAUAUUGUUUAGGAUGCUAGCAAGUAUUAUUACAAAAA